AGGGUAUKKGCCCUCMGUAGCGGCGAGUGAAGCGGCAAGAGCUCAGAUUUGAAAUCUCACCUAGUGUGCGAGUUGUAAAUUGCAGGUUGGAGUCUCGGGUUAGACGUGUGUGCAAGUCCCUUGGAACAGGGUGCCACUGAGGGUGAGAGCCCCGUAGCGUGCAUGUCGACACCUGUGAGGCCCUUCUGACGAGUCGAGUUGUUUGGGAAUGCAGCUCUAAGUGGGUGGUAAAUUCCAUCUAAGGCUAAAUAUUGGCGAGAGACCGAUAGCGAACAAGUACUGUGAAGGAAAGAUGAAAAGCACUUUGAAAAGAGAGUGAAACAGCACGUGAAAUUGUUGAAAGGGAAGGGUAUUGGGCUCGACAUGGGAUUUACGCAUCGUUGCCUCUCGUGGGCGGCGCUCUGGGUUUUUCCUGGGCCAGCAUCGGUUUUCGUUGCAGGAUAAGGACAAUUGGAAUGUGGCUCCUCGGAGUGUUAUAGCCUUUUGUAGAUGCUGCGURUGGGGACCGAGGGCUGCGGCGGACUYGUUUCGUCUCGGAUGCUGGCACAACGGCGCAAUACCGCCCGUCUUGAAACMCGGAC
rnacentral:rRNA from 1 species